UACAGAGGUCCCGAGCGUUGUUCGGAUUCACUGGGCGUAAAGGGUGCGUAGGCGGGUCUUUAAGUCAGGGGUGAAAUCCUGGAGCUCAACUCCAGAACUGCCUUUGAUACUGAAGAUCUUGAGUUCGGGAGAGGUGAGUGGGACUGCGAGUGUAGAGGUGAAAUUCGUAGAUAUUCGCAAGAACACCAGUGGCGAAGGCGGCUCACUGGCCCGAUACUGACGCUGAGGCACGAAAGCGUGGGGAGCAAACAGG
rnacentral:rRNA from 1 species